rnacentral:rRNA from 1 species
GACGAACGCUGGCGGCGGGCUUAACACAUGCAAGUCGAACGGAAAGGCCCUGCUUUUGUGGGGAGCUCGAGUGGCGAACGGGUGAGUAACCCGUGAGUAACCUGCCCUGGACUUUGGGAUAACUUCAGGAAACUGGGGCUAAUACCGGAUAGGAGCUCCUGCUGCAGGGUGGGGGUCGGAAAGUUUAGGCGGUUGGGGAUGGACUCGCGGCUAAUCAGCUUGUUGGGGGGGUAGUGGCUUAGCAAGCCAUUGACGGGUAGCCGGCCUGGGAGGGGAACCGGCCACAUUAGGACUGAGAUACGGCCCAGACUCGAACGGGAGGCAACGGUGGAGAGUAUUAUCCAAUGGGCGGGAGCCUGAUGCGACAGCGCCGCGUGCGGGAAGACGGCCUUGGGGUUGUGAACCGCAUUCGCCUGUGACGAAGCGUGAGUGACGGUAAUAGGAGAAGAAGCACCGGCUAACUACGUG